rnacentral:rRNA from 1 species
UACGUAGGUGGCAAGCGUUGUCCGGAAUUAUUGGGCGUAAAGCGCGCGCAGGCGGUCCUUUAAGUCUGAUGUGAAAGCCCACGGCUCAACCGUGGAGGGUCAUUGGAAACUGGGGGGACUUGAGUGCAGAAGAGGAGAGUGGAAUUCCACGUGUAGCGGUGAAAUGCGUAGAGAUGUGGAGGAACACCAGUGGCGAAGGCGACUCUCUGGUCUGUAACUGACGCUGAGGCGCGAAAGCGUGGGAG